rnacentral:tRNA from 1 species
GCUGCGGUAGCUCAGUGGUAGAGCACUCCCUUGGUAAGGGAGAGGUCGUGGGUUCGAUCCCCACUCGCAGCACCA